rnacentral:rRNA from 1 species
UGGGGAAUAUUGCACAAUGGGCGCAAGCCUGAUGCAGCCAUGCCGCGUGUGUGAAGAAGGCCUUCGGGUUGUAAAGCACUUUCAGCGGGGAGGAAGGCGGUGAGGUUAAUAACCUCACCGAUUGACGUUACCCGCAGAAGAAGCACCGGCUAACUCCGUGCCAGCAGCCGCGGUAAUACGGAGGGUGCAAGCGUUAAUCGGAAUUACUGGGCGUAAAGCGCACGCAGGCGGUCUGUCAAGUCGGAUGUGAAAUCCCCGGGCUCAACCUGGGAACUGCAUUCGAAACUGGCAGGCUAGAGUCUUGUAGAGGGGGGUAGAAUUCCAGGUGUAGCGGUGAAGUGCGUAGAGAUCUGGAGGAAUACCGGUGGCGAAGGCGGCCCCCUGGACAAAGACUGACGCUCAGGUGCGAAAGCGUGGGGAGCAAACAGG